GUAAGGAUGGCAAAACUCCAUUGAGUCCCAAACAUAAAAAGAUUGAAGUCUUAAAGAGUAAGUAUAAGAAACACAAGUGUGAGAGAGAUGGAGAUGCAAAAAUAGAGUAAGACAAAUAUUUGGAGGAGGAUACAGCGGAGGAUAUUGAUGAAUUUGACAUUUUGAGCUGGUGAAAGUUCAAUUGUUCAAGGUUUCCUACUGUGGGGAGAAUUGCCCGUGAUGUUCUUGUUGUCCCUGUUUCGACAGUAGCUUCUGAGAGUGCAUUCAGCACUGGGGGCAGGGUUCUAGAUCAGUUUAGGAGCUCAUUAACUCCUCGAGUUGUAGAAGGUCUUGUUUGUGCUCAAAAUUGGUUACGUGCUUCACCAUUUCCAAGUAUUGAAGAAUGUUUAGAGGAAGUUGAGCUUCUUGAAGAGGACUUGAAGAAUAUGGCAGUUGGUGAUGCUGAUAUUGAUGAAGUGCUUGAAAUAAUAGACUGAUGUGGCUCUUUGCUCAUUGUUGACUUGUUGUUGCCACUUGCCAGACUUGCUACUGCCUUGCUCUAUCACUGCUACUGCCUUCGUCUAUGCUGCUGAGUGCUGACCUGCUUUUGCUGCUGACCUGCUGUUAUGAUGCUGCUGCUGCCCUGCUGCUUGUUGCUACUGCUGUUAAACAAUUUUUUUACUGCCUUUUAGAACUUGGUCUAUGCUGCUUGUUGCUACUGCUGUUAAACAAUUGUUAAACUUGUAAUGUUGAACAAUUUUAUUUUUUUUUUUGGAUGAAGUGUUGAACUUUUAAAACUUUGAAUUAUAACUUUGAAGUUUUAGAACUUGUUAAUGUUGUUUAAAUCUCAUUAAGCAUUUAUGCUACUACA